rnacentral:misc_RNA from 1 species
UGGUCUCUGUUCCCUGCCAUUGGAUA